GUGAGAGUGGCGAACGGGUGAGUAAUGCGUGACCGACCUGCCCCAUACACCGGAAUAGCUCCUGGAAACGGGUGGUAAUGCCGGAUGCUCCAGUCCAUCGCAUGGUGGUCUGGGAAAGAUUUAUUCGGUAUGGGAUGGGGUCGCGUCCUAUUAGCUAGUUGGCGGGGUAACGGCCCACCAAGCCUACGACGGGUAGCCGGCCUGAGAGGGCGACCGGCCACAUUGGGACUGAGAUACGGCCCAGACUCCUACGGGAGGCAGCAGUGGGGAAUAUUGCACAAUGGGCGCAAGCCUGAUGCAGCGACGCCGCGUGCGGGAUGACGGCCUUCGGGUUGUAAACCGCUUUUGUUGGGGAGCAAGCCUUCGGGUGAGUGUACCCUUCGAAUAAGCACCGGCUAACUACGUGCCAGCAGCCGCGGUAAUACGUAGGGUGCAAGCGUUAUCCGGAAUUAUUGGGCGUAAAGGGCUCGUAGGCGGUUCGUCGCGUCCGGUGUGAAAGUCCAUCGCUUAACGGUGGAUCUGCGCCGGGUACGGGCGGGCUGGAGUGCGGUAGGGGAGACUGGAAUUCCCGGUGUAACGGUGGAAUGUGUAGAUAUCGGGAAGAACACCAAUGGCGAAGGCAGGUCUCUGGGCCGUUACUGACGCUGAGGAGCGAAAGCGUGGGGAGCGAACAGGAUUAGAUACCCUGGUAGUCCACGCUGUAAACGGUGGAUGCUGGAUGUGGGGCCCGUUCCACGGGUUCCGUGUCGGAGCUAACGCGUUAAGCAUCCCGCCUGGGGAGUACGGCCGCAAGGCUAAAACUCAAAGAAAUUGACGGGGGCCCGCACAAGCGGCGGAGCAUGCGGAUUAAUUCGAUGCAACGCGAAGAACCUUACCUGGGCUUGACAUGUUCCCGACAGCCCCAGAGAUGGGGCCUCCCUUCGGGGCGGGUUCACAGGUGGUGCAUGGUCGUCGUCAGCUCGUGUCGUGAGAUGUUGGGUUAAGUCCCGCAACGAGCGCAACCCUCGCCCCGUGUUGCCAGCACAUGAUGGUGGGAACUCACGGGGGACCGCCGGGGUUAACUCGGAGGAAGGUGGGGAUGACGUCAGAUCAUCAUGCCCCUUACGUCCAGGGCUUCACGCAUGCUACAAUGGCCGGUACAACGGGAUGCGAC
rnacentral:rRNA from 1 species